ACUAGCAGUAAGAGUUUGAUCAUGGCUCAGAACGAACGCUGGCGGCAUGCCUAACACAUGCAAGUCGAACGUGACCUUCGGGUCAAGUGGCGCACGGGUGCGUAACGCGUGGGAAUCUGCCCAAAGGUUCGGAAUAACUCAGGGAAACUUGAGCUAAUACCGGAUAAUGUCUUCGGACCAAAGAUUUAUUGCCUUUGGAUGAGCCCGCGUCGGAUUAGCUAGUUGGUGAGGUAAAGGCUCACCAAGGCGACGAUCCGUAGCUGGUCUGAGAGGAUGAUCGGCCACACUGGGACUGAGACACGGCCCAGACUCCUACGGGAGGCAGCAGUGGGGAAUCUUGGACAAUGGGGGCAACCCUGAUCCAGCGACGCCGCGUGGGUGACGAAGGCCUUCGGGUUGUAAAGCCCUUUUGUCGGGGACGAUGAUGACGGUACCCGGCGAAUCAGCACCGGCUAACUCCGUGCCAGCCGCCGCGGUAAUUC
rnacentral:rRNA from 1 species